GUUGAAGCGGCCCCGGGAGGAGUUAGACGACUGUCCGGGACUCAGUAACGCCAGAUUAGAUAAACCAAUUUGUGAGAUGGAAAACGAAUAUGAGAGAGAAAAAAAGGCAAAUCAAGCAAGCUUGCUUUGCUCUCAAUAUUGAUUUGAAGAUAUUUGAAGCAAGGACUUCAGAAUGAAAAAGCAUGCUUUCGACUUUACUAUGGUGUUUACUUAGAACUGAAAACCAAGGGACCAGACAGCAUUUAAACAGAGGUUUCAUUGCGGAUAUACUCAGAGAUGGAGGCUGCUUAAGCUUAUUUCUCAACAAUAUCGUUUCCACGUUCAAGUGUAUUCAGGCUGAAGUUUUGACAACUGGCCAAAUGAGAUUCAACAUUCUGUAUAGUCAAAAAUAAAGAGAA